rnacentral:lncRNA from 1 species
UCCACCAGUCUGUGACCCAAAACACAGGCAAAUGUGUGGUCCCAGAGGACAGACGGCACCCACCUCCUGACAGGGAGGCUUCCUACUCCAUUCCGCCUCCUUCUGCAAGCUCCAGCCCCCCCGGCCCCGGUGUGUACAACACACACUCCCAGCUGCUCUGAAGGCUGUGGAGAAUUCACGUACCGCGGCUGGUAUAUGUGACAGAAAUGGCAAAUCCAGAGUCUGCUAGCAAAAUACGGGGGUGGGGAGUGGGCUGGGGGUGAGGAGAAGGAGGCUGAGCUUCCAAAAUGCAAAUCUCUCAGGGACAGAGAGAGAAGGAAGGCGGCAUAGCAGCAGCUGGCUCUGGGCGGUCAGCAAUCCUAUCUGAAAAUAAAACAUUUUACAAUCCACAACUGCACCUCAUUAAGAAUGAAUGGAUCGGCUGGUAUAAAUAGCAUGCCACGUGAAGAAGUCAGGAAACAGCAUAUGCGUUUGACGGAAAAACGGCAGCCACAGGGCUGCUUAUUAGCUCGGUGGGCGGAGGCUCUUCACUCACUAACAAGACGGGUCCCGGGUUCAAAGCUGGGGUCGGCCGAGGCUCUGCACUAACAAGACGGGUGCAGGGUUCAAAGCUGGGGUCAGCUGAGGCUCUGCAGUAACAAGAGGGAUGCAGGGUUCAAAGCUGGGGUCGGCCGAGGCUCUACACUAACAAGACGGGUCCAUGGGUCAAAGCUGGGGUCGGCGGUGGCUCCGUACUAACAAGACGGGGGUCCCAGGUUCAAAGCUGGGGUCGGCCACAUGGCUUCCCUGAUCUUGGAGCACAGAAGGCCUCACACUGUGCCAGCCCUGCUCCCAACCUGGGCUUAACUCUGGACACACAGUGCCAGCCCACAGUGAGCUUCUCACAGCUCCUGACCCACAGGACCCCCACUCUAAUGUCCUACCUCUGGGCUUGAAUGCUGCCAUUGACAGGGAGCUCACUCCUCCGUCAGAUGCAAAACACUCAGUUCUGUGGCUGGAUGGCUAUUGAUCGAGGAAACCUAAAUGUCCCCUGCUGUGGCUAUUGAUCAAGGAAACCUAAAUGUCCCCUGCCCUGCCUCAGCUCUGCUCUGGGUCUGGGAGAAGUGGC